AUUGAAUGCUGGCGGCAGGCCUAACACAUGCAAGUCGAGCGAGCGGCGGACGGGUGAGUAAUGUAUGGGGACUGCCCGAUAGAGGGGGAUAACGACUGGAAACGGUAGCUAAUACCGCAUACUAUCGGAUAACCCAUAUGGGAUUAGCUAGUAGGUGGGGUAAUGGCUCACCUAGGCGACGAUCCCUAGCGGGUCUGGGGGGAUGAUCAGCCACACUGUGACUGUGACACGGCCCAGACCCCGCCGGAGGGUAGCAGUGGGAAUAUUGCACAAUGUGCGCAAGCCUGAUGCAGCCAUGCCGCGUGUAUGAAGAAGGCCCUAGGGUUGUAAAGUACUUUCAGUCGGGAGGCGUUACCGACAGAAUAAGCACCGGCUAACUCCGUGCCAGCAGCCGCGGUAAUUC
rnacentral:rRNA from 1 species